AUUAGAUACCCGGGUAGUCCACGCCGUAAACGAUGAUCACUCGAUAUACGCGAUACAAUCGUGUGUGUCCAAGCGAAAGCGUUAAGUGACCCACCUGGGGAGUAUACCCGCAAGGGUGAAACUCAAAGGAAUUGACGGGGGUCCGCACAAGCGGUGGAGUAUGUUGUUUAAUUCGUUAAUCCGCGAGGAACCUUACCUGGGCUAGAAUGUAUUUUGCCAUCCCUAGAAAUAGGGAGUUCCGAAAGGACGGAAUACAAGGUGCUGCAUGGCUGUCGUCAGCUCGUGCCGUGAGGUGUUGGGUUAAGUCCUAUAACGAGCGCAACCCUUUUACUUAAUUGCCAGCACGUAAUGGUGGGGACUUUAAGUAGACUGCCCGUGCAAGCGGGAGGAAGGAGAGGACGAGGUCAAGUCAUCAUGGCCUUUAUGCCCAGGGCUACAAACGUACUACAAUGGCAUGUACAAAGGGAAGCUACUUGGCAACAAGAUGCAAAUCUCCAAAGCAUGUCUCAGUUCGGAUUGGGGUCUGCAAUUCGACCUCAUGAAGUUGGAAUCGCUAGUAAUCGCGUAUCAGCAACGGCGCGGUGAAUACGUUCUCGGACCUUGUACACACCGCCCAUCAAGCCAUGGGAGUUGGUAGAACUUAAAGACAGUGGCCGUAAAAGGAGCUGUUUAGAGUUAGACCAGCGACUGG
rnacentral:rRNA from 1 species